UGAGCAAAUUGUGAGUUUUGGUGCGGGUCUGAAAGUGAAUGCUGCUACCAGGAGGUCCCUCGCCUCCACUGGACCUCACAACUUUGACAGCUGUCAUGGAGAUCAGGACAACAAUAUUAAGGACACUGGUGGACUGUCAGCUCUCAGAUCUUCGUGAGGAGGACAACAGACAUGUCACCUGUGCACCAGGCAGUCAAUAGAAGCUGUCCCCCCAUGGUGUCAAAGACAGACAGGGGCUGGAGAGACAGGACCACAUGCUGCCGAGGGACAAUCACGUCCUCAUCCUCACAGCCUAGGUGAACGUCAAUGUACUGGAGGACUACUCUAGAAAUUGUUGGCUUUUUUAUUUUUUUUUACAGGAAGGAUAGAAAGGAGUAUAUGACGUGAUUUGUUUGUGUUGCACCAGAAUGCAAGAUAAAGCAGUUAUGCAUCGUAGGGGAGCAAAAUGGUGUUAGGUUGGGGUACUGCAGUGAGUGACCCAUUGCAGACACAGGCACUAGUAAAGGGACUCCUAGUCUUCACCCAGUAGCUCAGAUUGUCACUGGGGUCAUUUAGCCUCCCCCUUGCAUGCUUUUCAUUUGUUCCAAUUCUGACUCAUCAUGUAAUAGGCUAUAGGCCUAGUCGAAUGUAUGCACAGAAUAAAUUGAAGUUGUUAAAAGCCAAUUAUUGUUGUCAUAUGCCUUAUUAUCAGAUUUUGUAAUUCAGAUGUUCUAUGUGACUUGCACUGUGUUUUCAGGUUUGAAUGAGACGAUGUAUUGCUCUCAAUAAAGUUAUUUCAAUAACG